UCAAGGCUGGCUAUGCUGAGGGCCAGCUCUGGCAGACAGUACAGCUCCUGGGACAGGCGAGGCAGGGCUGGGCAGUGUGGUGCAAGACGUUCCAGGGAAUCUGAUGCCCUCUUCUGGCUUCCUUGAACUCCUGCACAAGUAUGGAUGCAGCGCUUCCUCCAGCUUGAUGGGGAAGGUGUGCGUCAGACGAUCCCUUGGGUGGUCAUGCUCCAGGAGCUACAGGGUCUUCAAUUUAGGGACAAAGAAGAGGAAGUCCCAAGUCACAGAUGCUGUGUCCCUCCUGCCCCCUGGAGUACUCUCCCUGACGAGUCAGAUGCUGCCUGUGUAAAAUCUUACAGAAAAGGGAGAUGGAUGUGGUCCAUCCAGGAAGAAGAGGGAUGCCUUGAAAACAGCUAACAAACCAGAGGAUUAUAUAGUAAUCCCUGAAAGUAACACAUAUGGAAGACGAUUUUAAGGAAACCGCUGCGAGAGUUACAUUGCUCCUGCUGUGGGGGAUGGCAUGAGACAGACUCAGCUAUCUGCCCAGAAAGGACGUGACUGCAUUUCACAGGGAGUACAGGAAAAGGAUGAGACUUGAGUGGCAUCUUCCUCAGUAGCCUCCAUCCAGUGUGUUGUGUGUAGCUGCAUAAAUGAGAGGAUGAUGCGGAGGUACCAUUGGAUUGCUGUUUCUUAUGGCUGGGGGGGGGGGGAGCAUAAAG